AUGAACGCUGGCGGCGUGCCUCAUACAUGUAAGUCGCGCGAACAGACGAGGAGCUUGCUCCUCUGACGUUAGCGGCGGACGGGUGAGUAACACGUGGAUAACCUACCUAUAAGACUGGGAUAACUUCGGGAAACCGGAGCUAAUACCGGAUAAUAUAUUGAACCGCAUGGUUCAAUAGUGAAAGACGGUUUUGCUGUCACUUAUAGAUGGAUCCGCGCCGCAUUAGCUAGUUGGUAAGGUAACGGCUUACCAAGGCAACGAUGCGUAGCCGACCUGAGAGGGUGAUCGGCCACACUGGAACUGAGACACGGUCCAGACUCCUACGGGAGGCAGCAGUAGGGAAUCUGCCGCAAUGGGCGAAAGCCUGACGGAGCAACGCCGCGUGAGUGAUGAAGGUCUUCGGAUCGUAAAACUCUGUUAUUAGGGAAGAACAAAUGUGUAAGUAACUAUGCACGUCCUGACGGUACCUAAUCAGAAAGCCACGGCUAACUACGUG
rnacentral:rRNA from 1 species